rnacentral:rRNA from 1 species
UUCGACGGUAAGGUAUUGGCUUACCGUGGCAGUGACGGUUAACGGGGGAUUAGGGUUCAAUUCCGGAGAGGGAGCCUGAGAAACGGCUACCACAUCUAAGGAAGGCAGCAGGCGCGCAAAUUACCCAAUUCUAACAGCAUAAGAGAGGUAGUGACAAGAAAUAACAGUACAAGGCAGUUAAAAUGCUUUGUAAUUGGAAUGAUAGAAAUUUAAAUACUUUUUAAAGUAUCAAUUGGAGGGCAAGUCUGGUGCCAGCAGCCGCGGUAAUUCCAGCUCCAAUAGCGUAUAUUAAAAUUGUUGCAGUUAAAAAGCUCGUAGUUGAAUUUUUGCUAAAAAUAACCGGUCUGCUUUUAUUAAUAAAAGUGGUAUCUUGGAUCGUUUUUAGCAAUAAUGUCCUUUGAAAUGUUUUUUACUUUAUUGUAAAAAGCAAUUUUCAGGAUUUUUACUUUGAGAAAAUUAGAGUGUUUCAAGCAGGCUAACGUUUUGAAUACUGCAGCAUGGAAUAAUAAAAUAGGAUUUUAGUUCUACGUUAUUGGUUUUAAGAACUAAAUUAAUGAUUGAUAGGAGCAGUUGGGGGCAUUUGUAUUUAACUGUCAGAGGU